ACGAACGCUGGCGGCGUGCUUAACACCUGCAAGUCGAACGGAAAGGCCCUGCUUUUGUGGGGUGCUCGAGUGGCGAACGGGUGAGUAACACGUGAGUAACCUGCCCUUGACUUUGGGAUAACUUCAGGAAACUGGGGCUAAUACCGGAUAGGAGCUCCUGCUGCAUGGUGGGGGUUGGAAAGUUUCGGCGGUUGGGGAUGGACUCGCGGCUUAUCAGCUUGUUGGUGGGGUAGUGGCUUACCAAGGCUUUGACGGGUAGCCGGCCUGAGAGGGUGACCGGCCACAUUGGGACUGAGAUACGGUCCAGACUCCUACGGGAGGCAGCAGUGGGGAAUAUUGCACAAUGGGCGGAAGCCUGAUGCAGCAACGCCGCGUGCGGGAUGACGGCCUUCGGGUUGUAAACCGCUUUCGCCUGUGACGAAGCGUGAGUGACGGUAAUGGGUAAAGAAGCACCGGCUAACUACGUG
rnacentral:rRNA from 1 species